GUGGGGCCCGGAACGAUGUGUGAGUGAGAUAUUACACCAAAUACCAAAGAAAUACGCCCUGUUGCUGGGCGGGCAGACCGCGCAGUUGUUGUAGAAAAGUCUCGUUAUCAACUCGUUUAAACCGGAAGUUGCGAAUCACAGUCCAACACACACCCAAACACACACACACACACACACAUUAACACUCGAACAAACCAACACAUGACACGUUCACACACGCAGAUGUAUACAGGAUAAAAUAUAUCAUUAUACACAAGUAAAGGCCACUAGUGGCGCAACGACAGCUUGAAGCGGCCGACAAUGGCGACAAUGAGGACGAUGAUGAUGACUAUGAUGAUGAUGAUCAUGUGAGAGCUUAAAUGAAAGAGGUAGAAAGAGGUAGCAGCACGCACACGUUGCAUGCGUCUGAGUCGUGCGCAUAUAGCGCAGGUCGAGUGAAAGCCUGUAGAAACAGACAAAAUAAAAAAAAAACCGUAAGAUUACCCUUUAGAUAGUCCUUUGAACCUAAAGCAAAAAAAAAAACAAAGCACAGCAACGGCCACGUAGGCGAGCAGGGCCAGGCAAGGCAGGCCCCCUUGGCUGACAAUUGGAAAACCAGGAUCCGGGAAAAACGAUGAAACGAUGGUUGGUGCAAGAGAUCGGUGGUGCGUGCCAGUGGACAGGCCAAACAGGCCUCCCCCCCGGGCAGCCGCCAGCCCAGCAGCCGUGGCCCAACCUUGCUGUUGUCCAGCUUCCCCAAAAGCCAAAAAAAAAACGCGAAAUCAAAUAAACUUUAUCCAUAUCGUCUAGCUGCUAAUUGAAGCCUCUUAGAAAACGCACCGUCAAGCUUACGCCAAACAAACAAAAACAAAAAAAAAACACUCACAUAAUCACCGAAGAGGUAAUAACGGGGGAACAAGAGGCGCCGGACAGGUGGGGCGACAGUGGGAGGGGAAAACGAAGGACAGGAAGACGAAAACUAGAAGACGAAGGAAAAGACAAACAAAACACAGACAAACCAAAGUCGCGUCGCUGUGAGUGGAACGUUGUCAAUCGCAACGAAGGCAAGCGCCCCCCUCCCCCCACCACUCCUUUAGGCUUUGCUUUAGCUUUAGACGGCCCUUUCGCGCGGGCAUCGCGCGUCGCCCACGCGAUUGAAUGGAACGGAUCCCGAAUAAUAAAACAGAAGAAGAAAGAAAAGAAAAAACAGCAAACACCCACUCGUGUCUGCGGGCGGAUCUGCGGGCGAGCGGAAGUCCGAACGGAGGCCGUGGGUCGUGGGGUGCUGCAGAACUAAAUUAGUAAGAAUAGAAAGAAAAUUUAAAGCAAAAAAAAAAUAAAAUAAACAAACGGAAAACCCAACCAACAAAAAAACACAAAAAAAAAACGAAGAGUCAAAGACACCCCGUGCAACUAGCUAGAAGGUAGUGCAGGAGUGACUGCGGGAGAGGGGGAGGGAGGACCGGGAAACCGUGCAAACUGUGUAAGUUAAAUAUAGUAGAUAAAGAAGCAAAGAGAAAGGGGGCACGCGAACGCCUAGGCAAUAGGCAUUGGCUGUUAGUAAGUAGACAACGAUGAAACGAAACACAAAAGAAAAAAGAAACCAAAAGUAAAACCAAAAACCAAAUAAAUAUAAAUAGAGAAAAAAACAAAGUUUGUCGCUGCUGUGUGGGAGGUAGGGGGAGAGGAUUCGAUCGUGGGGUGGUGGGGUGGAGCGGGGUGGAUAAAGAAUAGAGGCAGUAGAGUAAAGUAGCGCGCAAACGAUCACCAAACCUAUUGCGUCGGCCAAUGCGUUUUGUACAUUUUUCGCCAGUUGCAACAGUAGUAGUAGAGAAAGAGAGGGAGGAAGGGAGGGAAGGAAGGGCUAAAAGCGAUGCUAGGAAAGACCAGGAAAACAAACCAAAAGUGAAAGAAGAAAAAGAAAGAAAAAAAAACAUGCUAAAGCUACAUUUUUCUCAUAUCUGCAAUUAUUAUCCUUAGAUGGGCGGCAUCAUAAGAGUGGAAGAGAUGAACAGACAGCGGGAGAGAGAGAGAGAGAGAGAGAGAGAGAGAGAGAAAGAGAGAGAGAGAGAGAGCGAAGCGUAGGGAAGGAUUGGGUGUUCGAACCCCUAGAGAAUUGACGGUAGGGUGUCCGCAGGAUGUGACUACUAUUUGUUUAGAUCUAGAGCCUUUCCGCUCCUCCUUCAGCACUGCCGGUGCAUUCUCAAACUACUCUAUUCGCCCCCGCCCUCCCCCGGCCCGGCCUUCCUCUUUCCCCCCUCUUUCCCUUCUGCCUUCUGCUUUCUUCUUUCCUUGCUUUCUUACCUCCUCGUUUCCCAAAACAAAAGAUCCUCAGAGAAAACGUGUUUUCGGUGCCCUGUGCCAUGGAGCAGCACCACUGCGGCUAAGCGGUCAUGUGUCUCGUGCGAUUAUCAAAGGCUGUAGCUACACCCCAGCCCCAGACGGAGCAGCGAGCAGCAAGUGCAACAAUUGGAUGGAUGGCUGGUUAAGCACGUGGUCGAUGGGCACACACAACAAAAAAAAAAGAAACAAGAAAACAAAAAACGGAAAGACACACACUACUCUCGCAACCCCCUCACAAUUACAAAUGCGGCAUAGCAAACCAAAAACGGGCAGGCUGGGGCAGCCUGCAGGAUGGAGGCAGAACGAGCACAAGCAGUGAACCAAAAUUCUUAUGAUUAAUACAAAAAAACUCCGUCUCGGUCUCCUUCUCCACCGAACAGCAAACAGACACGGAGGGAACCACACUUCAGUAAGGCACAUACACGCCAGUGGAGGCGCCUGGUAGCCCACAGCCUGCUGCAGCGCCAGCUUCCUGUGAUGCAAACGGAUGGGUAACCUAAUCACUGGUUGCCCGGCUGUCCCGUUUCCGGUGAGCUACGCACGCUACGCAACCGUACCGUCCGCAAGGACAGGGAGCAACCGCCUUCACAGGCCAAUCGGUACCCGGUCCCUGUGCGACAAGACCCAGUUUAAGAUGCGUCCUUCCUCUCUACCGCGGGGCAUGGCAGCAAUGCAGGUGCAGGAUGCAACAUAAACCAAAACCUAGGAAGAGUUAGUGAAUAGAAACCGACGGGGAAACGGAGAAGAACCAACAACAGCAACAACAAAAAAGCAAAAACACAUACAAGGUAAAGCCAAGCUGAUUAGAUAGAGCUAAAGAAAAAAACCAUGGUUAAAUGCAUAUUUUGGUAUUGAAAUCGCCUCAAGUAAAACCAAAUAAUUCCUUUUUUUUAGAAUGAACUUAUCGUAAUGCUUAAACAAGGGAAGGUUACGGUAUGUGCCAGUGUGUGUGGGAUGAAGAUGGGCGUUAAGAAGAAAAAAACGAAGGUACCGGUGAAUCGGCGCGAAAGAAGGACUAAGCUAAAUUUACUCAUCCUUAGGAAGACACCCGACACAGAAAUCCCUUGAGAGAGAGCGAAGCAGAAGAAGAAGAAGAAGAAAAAGAAGAAAAGCAAAAUGUACACAGCGUAGUAAAAAAACGAGAGCAAACGAAAGAAUAUGAAGAACAGGAAGAAAACCAGUUAGAAAAGCAACAAAAAAAAAAACAUAAAUAAAAUGAAUCAGCAAGCAGUGAAGGGACGCAUCACAGCAGCAAACAACAGCAACAAAUACACAAGCAAGAACGAACAAACGGGCAAGGUGUUGUGGUUUAGUGUGUCAGGUGGGGUGGUAGAAGAGCGAACCGACAUAGUAUUAAUAAGAGGUAGUGCCGAACGAUGGCGGGCAACGGAGUACGAUCAGUUAUCAGGGACUGUGUAUGGUGUGAGGUCCCUUUUUGUUUUUUUUUGUGUGAGCUGCACCAACGAAGGUGAAGGUGUGGGCGAAAGAAAAAAAAAAACAAGGGCCAGGCAGUAGCGUCCAGGUUGCGCCUCAUCAUUAUUUAGGAUCACAAUGCCUGUACACGUAUACAUAUGUACUUUGCCUAUAUGGAUAUGUAUAUCAGUGCAUACACCGAAACACACCGACACACACAUACACACUCACUAUAUGUGUAUUGCUCCUGCCAGAACAUUUUUUUAUACAAUCUCAACCCCAAAAAAACCAGAAUCUAAUGUUAAUAAAAGCAACACAAAAAAAACCGCAUUCUUCGUACGUUGCAAGCUAAACAGAAAUGCCCUUCAUGCCGACGAAAGGAGAGCGACCAGUUGGGGAAACAGAUGAAAGGAAAAUGGGGCGGGGAGACGGGCUGAGAGGAAGCACGAUAGUAAGAAAACGAGUGAAAAGAUGAGUGAAAGCGAAGGAUGCGUAACAUAAUAUCGCUAGCAAAAUUUAAUAAAGAAGAAGACGAAGACGAAGACGAAGAAGAGGAAAAAACAAAACAAAACGUAAAGGAGUAAGGAGUCGCACUAAUAACUUUAAAGCAAAAAGAAACAACAAAAAAACGCCAAAAUCAAAUUGACAAGCUGAUCCACUUUAUUAUGGCUUUAGACGAUAACAAUCGGCGGGCCCCGCAGGCUUUAGGGCAGUUACUAGUCAGAGCAAGGUGGCCUAGGAGGCGAGGCGAGAAGCGUUAGAAGCGUGCUGGGAAAUGCUUGGGAUCCACCACCGCCCCCCCCCCCCCCCAUCACCCCCUUCCUGCUCCUCCUCCUCCUCAACAGACGACACAGAAAGCCAAUAGAUAGAGGGGCGGACAGGUGAUGCAGGUCGGUGCCGUCGGUGUUGUUGUCAAUGUUGUCGACGCCGAAUUAAUCGCACACCAGCACAGCUACAGACUCCUUGACAGCAGAUGGCUCUUGCAGGCUCCGCAUUUAUUCCUUAGCCUUAGCCCCUUUUAGCCAGAGCGCGCUGAUUAGAAGGAAGGGCGGAAGAUAUGGUGGUCCUAUCUCUCUCUCUUUCUCUCUCUCUCUCUCUCUCUCUCUCUCUCUUCCUCUUUUUCUCUUUAUUUCCUUUUCUUUCUCUAGCUCUCUGAGCGACCAAAAAAGGUACUCUGGAAACCGGGCAGUUGUAGCAAGGCGUACCGUAGAAACCGAAGUGGAGCGAGCCGACAUGAAAUUGUGUGUAGUGGUAGAAAGUGAAAUUCAACAUACUAACACCAUCAUCGAACACACAGACCACAUUCACGCCCAAAAACAACACAAAUUAGUAAACUUAAAAACCAAAAAAAAAAAAACAUUCAAAUUCUAAAAGACACACUCGAUGCCAGAAAGGGGUGCGAAAGGAAGAGAAAGAGAAAGCAGAAGA